rnacentral:misc_RNA from 1 species
CCGAGUUCAGGUCUUUGCGGGCCAAUCUUCUACUUUUGUGUAUUUAUACCACUGUUGCUUUGGCAGGCCGCUAAGCUUCGACCUGGCCACCGGCUCCUAGGGCUGGUAUACGCCUGCCAGAAGACCUCCAAACUUUGGUUAUCUGUGUCGUUUAAGUACUAUAUAAUCGUUA